GAUAUAUUAAUUUCAUAAAAUUCAUGUGGGGAUGAGUGAAGAAAACCACAUUUGAGGAAGCAAGCAUGUAAUGGGUUAAAAAGUUAGUCCACAUAUAUAACCAAGAACAUAAUUAGUGGCAAUGGCUUCAAUCGCCCAGCCAUCCCGCCGAAGACAUCUGGCAGCAGGAGCAUAUUGCUUCUUCAACCAGCUGAUAAUGGGCUUUCUAGUUGGGCAGUUGCCUUGCCUGCUUUAAUGAUCGCGUUUUCUAUGGUAAUGUGGCCUAGUGGCAAAUAUCGACUUUGACUUGCACAUUCUUGUAUGGGACUAAUCUGAUCCUUUCAUGAAAAUGACGUGACCUGAUCUUCAAACGUGUACAUGCUUUCUCUCGUCCAUCUUUUAGUGGGAAUUACCUGUUUCAAUGUUUCUGCAAUUUGAUUUCUUCAUGUGUCUGCACUUGAUAAGUAUCUCAACCCAAUUACACCUUGAGGACCACAAUUCUUGUUUUUUUCCUUGUCAAAGAUACUUUCAUCAUACCUAAUGCUAUUAUUUUCUCUAAUUGCAUUAACAACGACGCUCGUUGGGUAAGAUUACAACAUGUUCAGAUAAAGGAGAAGGCUAAAGAC
rnacentral:misc_RNA from 1 species